rnacentral:rRNA from 1 species
CGGGCUGCUUGCUUACCAUGCAAGUCGAACGCUGAAGCCCAAAGCUUGCUUUGGGUGGAUGAGUGGCGAACGGGUGAGUAACACGUGAGUAACCUGCCCCUGAUUUCGGGAUAAGCCUGGGAAACUGGGUCUAAUACCGGAUACGACCACCUGACGCAUGUUGGGUGGUGGAAAGUUUUUCGAUCGGGGAUGGGCUCGCGGCCUAUCAGCUUGUUGGUGGGGUAAUGGCCUACCAAGGCGACGACGGGUAGCCGGCCUGAGAGGGCGACCGGCCACACUGGGACUGAGACACGGCCCAGACUCCUACGGGAGGCAGCAGUGGGGAAUAUUGCACAAUGGGGGAAACCCUGAUGCAGCGACGCAGCGUGCGGGAUGACGGCCUUCGGGUUGUAAACCGCUUUCAGCAGGGAAGAAGCGAAAGUGACGGUACCUGCAGAAGAAGUACCGGCUAACUACGUGCCAGCAGCCGCGGUAAUACGUAGGGUACGAGCGUUGUCCGGAAUUAUUGGGCGUAAAGAGCUCGUAGGUGGUUGGUCACGUCUGCUGUGGAAACGCAACGCUUAACGUUGCGCGUGCAGUGGGUACGGGCUGACUAGAGUGCAGUAGGGGAGUCUGGAAUUCCUGGUGUAGCGGUGAAAUGCGCAGAUAUCAGGAGGAACACCGGUGGCGAAGGCGGGACUCUGGGCUGUAACUGACACUGAGGAGCGAAAGCAUGGGGAGCGAACAGGAUUAGAUACCCUGGUAGUCCAUGCCGUAACGUUGGGCACUAGGUGUGGGGGACAUUCCACGCUCUCCGCGCCGUAGCUAACGCAUUAAGUGCCCCGUCCUGGGGUAGUACGUCGCAAGGCUAAAACUCAAAGGAAUUGAACGGGGGGCUCGUCACAAGCCGGGCGGGAGUCUAUGCGGA